rnacentral:lncRNA from 1 species
CGCCGCCGUGUCGGCGCCGCGCCAGCCCGCUCCCUGAAGUUCCGUUUUCUGCUGUUAUCGGGAAGCGCGCGUUGACCGGCGUGGGCCGUUUCGUGGCCUCGCUCGCUGUGUGCUUGCGCGCCGCGAUGUUUCACGACUGGCACCGUUCGUGCAUCGUGCUGUGGUUGCACCAAUACUUCAAAAACAGGUCCGGCAAGGUUCUUCCGGUUCCCUAAAGACAACGGGGUGUCAUACUGCUAGGCGUUGCUGUUCCCGCGCCCGGCAUGAACAUGCUUUUCGGUGGGCGAGUGGCGGGGGCAGCGCCUCCCCAUCUCUGGAUGCAACCGCCAAUUUUAGACCCGGAGCAGCUGACCGGCUGGCAACAUCUAUGUGAUACCGGGACCGGCAUCGCUAUCUGUAAUGAGCGCGCCCGAUAUAAGCUGCUGCCCACCGACUGCGUGCUGGGGCACUACACCGCGACUAGAAUGGAGCAUUCACCAUUGGUGUUCUUUCAGUAGGUCCAGGGGCUGCAGGCCGUCCAAGGACCAGAAGCAACCACAUGGUCGGAGCCGAUCUGGGAGCCGCAGCUAGACGCAGCAGAAACCGCUACCGAAAGACUCUUGCCUUGGGCCGCAUGGACAAAAACGCCCAACCAGCUUACCAGGAAGCUGAC